GGUUAAGCGACUAAGCGUACACGGUGGAUGCCCUGGCAGUCAGAGGCGAUGAAGGGCGUGCUAAUCUGCGAUAAGCGCCGGUAAGGUGAUAUGAACCGUUAUAACCGGCGAUACCCGAAUGGGGAAACCCAGUGUGAUUCGUCACACUAUCAUUAACUGAAUCCAUAGGUUAAUGAGGCGAACCGGGGGAACUGAAACAUCUAAGUACCCCGAGGAAAAGAAAUCAACCGAGAUUCCCCCAGUAGCGGCGAGCGAACGGGGAGGAGCCCAGAGCCUGAAUCAGCAUGUGUGUUAGUGGAAGCGUCUGGAAAGGCGCGCGAUACAGGGUGACAGCCCCGUACACAAAAGCGCAUGUGCUGUGAGCUCGAUGAGUAGGGCGGGACACGUGGUAUCCUGUCUGAAUAUGGGGGGACCAUCCUCCAAGGCUAAAUACUCCUGACUGACCGAUAGUGAACCAGUACCGUGAGGGAAAGGCGAAAAGAACCCCGGCGAGGGGAGUGAAAAAGAACCUGAAACCGUGUACGUACAAGCAGUGGGAGCACCCUUUGGGGUGUGACUGCGUACCUUUUGUAUAAUGGGUCAGCGACUUAUAUUCUGUAGCAAGGUUAACCGAAUAGGGGAGCCGGAGGGAAACCGAGUCUUAAUUGGGCGUUAAGUUGCAGGGUAUAGACCCGAAACCCGGUGAUCUAGCCAUGGGCAGGUUGAAGGUUGGGUAACACUAACUGGAGGACCGAACCGACUAAUGUUGAAAAAUUAGCGGAUGACCUGUGGCUGGGGGUGAAAGGCCAAUCAAACCGGGAGAUAGCUGGUUCUCCCCGAAAGCUAUUUAGGUAGCGCCUCGUGAAUUCAUCUCCGGGGGUAGAGCACUGUUUCGGCUAGGGGGCCAUCCCGGCUUACCAACCCGAUGCAAACUGCGAAUACCGGAGAAUGUUAUCACGGGAGACACACGGCGGGUGCUAACGUCCGUCGUGAAGAGGGAAACAACCCAGACCGCCAGCUAAGGUCCCAAAGUCAUGGUUAAGUGGGAAACGAUGUGGGAAGGCCCAGACAGCCAGGAUGUUGGCUUAGAAGCAGCCAUCAUUUAAAGAAAGCGUAAUAGCUCACUGGUCGAGUCGGCCUGCGCGGAAGAUGUAACGGGGCUAAACCAUGCACCGAAGCUGCGGCAGCGAACGUAUCACCCAAGACAACUUUACGGAGUUGACGAUUGACGGAGCGAAGCGACGUCAAAGCGUUCAUUAAAGUCGAGUUGGCUUAGGGAUACGUUCGUUGGGUAGGGGAGCGUUCUGUAAGCCUGUGAAGGUGUGUCGUGAGGCAUGCUGGAGGUAUCAGAAGUGCGAAUGCUGACAUAAGUAACGAUAAAGCGGGUGAAAAGCCCGCUCGCCGGAAGACCAAGGGUUCCUGUCCAACGUUAAUCGGGGCAGGGUGAGUCGACCCCUAAGGCGAGGCCGAAAGGCGUAGUCGAUGGGAAACGGGUUAAUAUUCCCGUACUUGGUGUUACUGCGAAGGGGGGACGGAGAAGGCUAUGUUGGCCGGGCGACGGUUGUCCCGGUUUAAGCGUGUAGGUGUGUGUUCCAGGUAAAUCCGGUUCACUUUAACACUGAGGCGUGACGACGAGGCACUACGGUGCUGAAGCAACAAAUGCCCUGCUUCCAGGAAAAGCCUCUAAGCAUCAGGUAACAUCAAAUCGUACCCCAAACCGACACAGGUGGUCAGGUAGAGAAUACCAAGGCGCUUGAGAGAACUCGGGUGAAGGAACUAGGCAAAAUGGUGCCGUAACUUCGGGAGAAGGCACGCUGACACGUAGGUGAAGUGAUUUACUCAUGGAGCUGAAGUCAGUCGAAGAUACCAGCUGGCUGCAACUGUUUAUUAAAAACACAGCACUGUGCAAACACGAAAGUGGACGUAUACGGUGUGACGCCUGCCCGGUGCCGGAAGGUUAAUUGAUGGGGUCAGCGCAAGCGAAGCUCCUGAUCGAAGCCCCGGUAAACGGCGGCCGUAACUAUAACGGUCCUAAGGUAGCGAAAUUCCUUGUCGGGUAAGUUCCGACCUGCACGAAUGGCGUAAUGAUGGCCAGGCUGUCUCCACCCGAGACUCAGUGAAAUUGAACUCGCUGUGAAGAUGCAGUGUACCCGCGGCAAGACGGAAAGACCCCGUGAACCUUUACUAUAGCUUGACACUGAACAUUGAGCCUUGAUGUGUAGGAUAGGUGGGAGGCUUUGAAGUGUGGACGCCAGUCUGCAUGGAGCCGACCUUGAAAUACCACCCUUUAAUGUUUGAUGUUCUAACGUGGACCCGUGAUCCGGGUUGCGGACAGUGUCUGGUGGGUAGUUUGACUGGGGCGGUCUCCUCCUAAAGAGUAACGGAGGAGCACGAAGGUUGGCUAAUCCUGGUCGGACAUCAGGAGGUUAGUGCAAUGGCAUAAGCCAGCUUGACUGCGAGCGUGACGGCGCGAGCAGGUGCGAAAGCAGGUCAUAGUGAUCCGGUGGUUCUGAAUGGAAGGGCCAUCGCUCAACGGAUAAAAGGUACUCCGGGGAUAACAGGCUGAUACCGCCCAAGAGUUCAUAUCGACGGCGGUGUUUGGCACCUCGAUGUCGGCUCAUCACAUCCUGGGGCUGAAGUAGGUCCCAAGGGUAUGGCUGUUCGCCAUUUAAAGUGGUACGCGAGCUGGGUUUAGAACGUCGUGAGACAGUUCGGUCCCUAUCUGCCGUGGGCGCUGGAGAACUGAGGGGGGCUGCUCCUAGUACGAGAGGACCGGAGUGGACGCAUCACUGGUGUUCGGGUUGUCAUGCCAAUGGCACUGCCCGGUAGCUAAAUGCGGAAGAGAUAAGUGCUGAAAGCAUCUAAGCACGAAACUUGCCCCGAGAUGAGUUCUCCCUGAGACUUAGAGUCUCCUGAAGGAACGUUGAAGACGACGACGUUGAUAGGCCGGGUGUGUAAGCGCAGCGAUGCGUUGAGCUAACCGGUACUAAUGAACCGUGAGGCUUAACCUU
rnacentral:rRNA from 1 species